rnacentral:rRNA from 1 species
CGUCUUCGGCGUCCGCAUUGUAAUCUCAAGAAGUGUUUUCCGCUUCGGACCAAGCCUAAGUCCCUUGGAAAAGGGCAUCAUAGAGGGUGAUAAUCCCGUACAUGGCUUGGAGCGCCCGAGGCUUUGUGAUACGCUUUCUAAGAGUCGAGUUGUUUGGGAAUGCAGCUCAAAAUGGGUGGUAAAUGCCAUCUAAGGCUAAAUAUUGGGGAGAGACCGAUAGCGAACAAGUACAGUGAUGGAAAGAUGAAAAGAACUUUGAAAAGAGAGUUAAACAGUACGUGAAAUUGCCAAAAGGGAAGGGUAGGAGGUCAGAGAUGCGGUCUGGGAUUCAGCCUUGCUUUUUCGCUAGGUGUUUUUCCCAGAUGGCAGGCCAACGUCGGUUUUGGGCACUGGAGAAGGGUAGGAGGAACGUGGCACCUCUCGGGGUGUGUUAUAGCCUCCUACUGGAUACAGCGACCGAGACCGAGGAACGCAGCGUACUCGCAAGAGCGGGCCCUCGGGCACCUUUACGCUUAGGGCGUUGGCAUAAUGGCCCUCUACCACCCGUCUUGAAACACGGACCAAGGAGUCUAACAUGUAUGCGAGUCUUUGGGUGGCAAACCCAUAUGCGCAAUGAAAGUGAAUUCACGUGGGAUCCGCAAGGUGCACCAUCGACCGAUCCUCACGUCUUUUAAGUCGUGGAUUUGAGUAAGAGCAUACCUGUUGGGACCCGAAAGAUGGUGAACUAUGCCUGAAUAGGGUGAAGCCAGAGGAAACUCUGGUGGAGGCUCGUAGCGGUUCUGACAUGCAAAUCGAUCGUCAAAUUUGGGUAUAGGGGCGAAAGACUAAUCGAACCAUUAUAUCAAUGUAUGCUAGGUGGUUAAGAGGUGGCAUGAAAGUGCGCACCUAGUGGACGCUGAAGUUCGCGACACUGUCAAAAUGCGGGGACACCCUAAAGCUUUCAAUACCAAGCCGGCGUGGAAACACAGUCGGUGGCCGAGCUAAUAGCCCUGGGUAUGGUAAAAACUCGAAAGAUGUCUCACUGGGCAAUCCGCACACACGCUCUAAGGGGUGUUUGCAAGAAGAUUCUAUGAGUGCACUUCACAGACUAGAUGGCACUGGGUCCCUCUCUCUCAGAAAGAGAGAGAGAGAGAGAGAGGGGCUUAAGAUAUAGUCGGUCCUUCCGCGAAAGCGGACCGGGGGACGAAAGAUGGAGAUCCUUCAGCGGUAGAUCUCUUUCCGGAGCCUCUGGGAGCUGCAGCUCGGUUCUGCAGCUUUGGGUGCUACGCUAGUAGCUGGUUCCUGCCGAAGUUUCCCUCAGGAUAGCAGAAACUCACAUCAGUUUUAUGAGGUAAAGCGAAUGAUUAGAGGCCUUGGGGAAGUAACUUCCUUAACCUAUAC